UACGAAAAGGUGCAAGCGUUGUUCGGAAUGACUGGGCGUAAAGCGCACGUAGGCGGGUUUGCAUGUAGGAUGUGAAAGCCCCAGGCUCAACCUGGGAAUGGCACCCUAAACUACAAACCUUGAAUGCUUGAGAGGUUGGCGGAAUUCCUGGGUGAGGAGUGAAAUCCGUAGAUAUCAGGAGGAAUUUCGGAGGCGAAGGCGGC
rnacentral:rRNA from 1 species